CCUACGGGAGGCAGCAGUAGGGAAUCUUGCGCAAUGGGCGAAAGCCUGACGCAGCCAUGCCGCGUGAAUGAUGAAGGUCUUAGGAUUGUAAAAUUCUUUCACCGGGGACGAUAAUGACGGUACCCGGAGAAGAAGCCCCGGCUAACUUCGUGCCAGCAGCCGCGGUAAUACGAAGGGGGCUAGCGUUGCUCGGAAUUACUGGGCGUAAAGGGAGCGUAGGCGGAUAGUUUAGUCAGAGGUGAAAGCCCAGGGCUCAACCUUGGAACUGCCUUUGAUACUGGCUAUCUUGAGUACGGGAGAGGUGAGUGGAACUCCGAGUGUAGAGGUGAAAUUCGUAGAUAUUCGGAAGAACACCAGUGGCGAAGGCGACUCACUGGCCCGUUACUGACGCUGAGGCUCGAAAGCGUGGGGAGCAAACAGGAUUAGAUACCCUGGUAGUCCACGCUGUAAACGAUGAGUGNUAGUUGUCGGUCGAUGCAUGCAUGUCGGUGGACGCAGCUAACGACAUUAAGUACACCUCCGCCGUCGGGGUAGGGUACGGGUCCGGCCGAACGAAGUUAAAACCGUUAACCUAAACUUAAGUUAAAGUUAGUUACGGGUUCGUUGGAGGACGUUGCCGAACGGGACGACCGACCGAGGGGGAAGGUUAGGG
rnacentral:rRNA from 1 species